CAAGGAUACAUGAUGAAUCCAUAGUUCAGCUGAUUUUACUGUGAUGAACAGUCUUUCGCUCCUAUCUGAUGCAUCCUUG